AUAUAUUCAGAAACAAAUCUCUUUUUGGCUACAGUGCCCGAGAGGAGUGCCACAAAAUCCUCUUUAGCAUGGCACAAAUGGGACAAAGUUAGCCCUUAAACACUCAGCUGCAGUCACCUUUCUAGUUGGUCAGCCAGUGCUGGAUCUCCUGGACAUUUCCCUCCCAGCUCUUUGAAGGCAGAGGAUCCAGAAGUAACAGCUGAAAUCUCAAACCAAAAAGCCAAUGAACUGGAAUAUUCCCUCCAGAAGGGAUGAUGUGGUUUUAUUGAAAGCACUCUCCAAGUGGCUGGCUCCCAGAGAGUGGUGGGGGAGCCAGCCAUCUCUUGGAACAGAUUUGGCAUAAAUGAGGAAUAAUCCAAGGCAGCAUCCAUGCCAAGCCUCUUGUCAUUGCUCGAUGGCACGGCUGGGAUGUUUGGUCUCUGGACCCUGACUCCAGCAGCACAGGCUGCCCUGGCCAGCAGCUUCACUUCACUCCACUGAAAACAAGGAAUCAAGAGGACCACUACUGGGAUUUUCAUGAAGGAGCCUGGUGGGGCUGAAUGAAAGGGAGCCUGAGCUGCAGGGAGGAGAUUACAAGGCAGCAUUGCCAGCUAAUGCUGCUGGAAACAACACUUGUGAUAGCAUCUCCUCUGCUGGGAAUGAGCAGGAAUGCCAGCCAAGCCUGCAUUCCAGUAGACUGAAGGGUUAUUUGAGAAAAAAAGACAUCAGAUAGCCUGAGUGGAAGAUCUUGCCCUUGCCAGUCAGCCUGAUGUAGGUGAGCUGCUAUAUUUACAGAUGCAUUGGUUUACAGAAACACAAAAUAACUCCAAGUAACUGCAAAAGCACCAACAGGCUUACCCAGUGUAAAUAAACACAUUGUGCUUACAAACUAGUGGGUUUCUUUAGCAUGCAGUACAGGGGCUCAAGACCUUACAGAACAAAAGAAAAUAGAGUACAUAAGGAACUGUGAUGUUUGUUUCACUGCACACUAUAUACAUAACAUAAACUUUGUAUCCACAUUUACAAAUAAGUCUUUAUUGCUUUCCAUCUGCAAAUUGCCAAGUUGUACAUCAACAAUUGGUUUAGUUUCAGAGAAAGUCGCACAGGAGAGACAGAAUUAUUUGCAAAAUAAAAUUAAUUGUUGAUGGUCCUGUCCUCAUCAUUUGAUAAAGGAAUAUUUCACUGAGCUUCAGCAUGCAGAGUACCAGCAUGGUCCCUGCUGUGAUCUCGCUCAGGGAAAGGUCAGCUAGCCAGGGAAAUCAUAUUUACUUUUGGAGCAUUCAGCUAACAUAAGCAGCCAGCUGGGAAAAAAGUGUCCAGUGACUCAGAGGGAAAUGCUUCUACAGCCCCAACAUGAAUGGCAGCUAUGAAGGGUUAACAAUGAGAAAUGGUGCAAGAUGGUUCAAUCAACAGAUCUGUGCCCACUGCUCCAAAAAGAAAGCCCUGACGUUCCCAAAGUAGGGAGGAUUCUCCAAAGCAUUUAAAGCCAUUCUCUGUUUCACAGAUGAAAAGGGGCAUACACAUCCAUGUUACCAUGGAGAAAAUGACAUCUUUCCUCUCCCCUACUUGUGGAUUUCAGGCUUUGAACUUUAGAUUAAUACAGGUCAUUUUUUG